CGUACCUAAUUCGGUAUAGAAUUGUCGACCACCAAUUGGCUGAUAGACAACACUGGUCCCUCCGCACCGCCUCCACAACGUCAUUGGCGACUUGCUCUUCACUGUGCCUCAAUAAUCUGUCAUGAGUGAAAGACAACAGAAUCGGGGACUAUUGUCACCUCGGAUCAGCCUUUGGUGCGACUGUGAUGAAAUUUAUUUGACCGCUGCGACCGCUAAACUCCUGACCCAGACUCUCCAUCAGUCCUGAAACAAAAAAGUAGUUGGAAAUUCACCUGCAAUGGCAGCACGAGUCCCCCUGUAAGCGUCCUCAGUAGAAGUCGUCGGCGUAACACCGACAACGUGAGCUCUUUCCUGUUGCAGCAUGAAAGGAAGGAAUGCCACGACCGUCUGAUGAAAAGG